rnacentral:sRNA from 1 species
UCAAGAAUACCUCGGACAAGAGGAUCC